GAUCUGCUCGUCACGGGCUCCCACGUGGUGUUGCCAAAAGUACCCUUGGACUCCGGGCCGGGGAGGGCCGGGUGCCUGCCUCCCUGCCUCCUAACUGAGACCGGGUCUCGCCGCGUGGUUCGAGCUGGCCUCGAACUCACUGUGUCGCCCAGGCUGGCCUCGAGCUCUCGGCGAUCCUCCUGCCUCAGCCUCCCGAGCGCUGGGAUUACAGCCCGGCUCGAAUCUGUAUUUCUAACCAACACCCACACCCAAGCGAGUCUGGCAACGAGAGGGGUCAGCGUCCGAAGCAAGUCCAUAGAGGCUCAUUCCUCUUUCAGGUUAAACGCUGGCGAAGCAGUUGCAUCCCACCUCUUUCUGAUCUCUGAAAUGAGUUCUGGUGAAAGAAACCCAACUCACAGACCUGGUGUGCAGUUACUAGAAUGGCACUGUGGCGCACAUCUGAAUCCUGGUGACAAAGGAGAACUGUAACUCCCGACCUGCUGGGUGUCAGAUGUGCCGAGUUCGUGGUCCCACAGCAUUGAGAAAUGAAGUUGCAAACCAAAAGAACUGCCUGUAAUACCAGCACAGGAGCCUGAGGCAGGAGGAUUGCUCAAGGCCAGCCUGGGCUACAUAGUUGAAGACCAGCCCAAACUACAUAGCAAGACUGUAUCUCAAAAAGCCAAAAAUAAAAAAUUUUUAAUGUCAUUAUAGAAGUUUUUAAAAAGUUGGGGCGGGCAUGGUGAUGCAUAUCUGUGAUCCCAGCACUUGGGAGGCUGAGGCAGGAGGAUUUGCCGCGAGUUCUCAGCCAGCCUGGGCUACAUAGUGAAUUCAAGCCCAGGCUCUGUCUCAAAAAUAAAUAAAAUUUUUUUAAAAAAAUAAAUUUUCAAUAAGAAAAGGUUAGAUUUCUGACAAAGGUUACAUAUGCUUCUUCUAAGCCAACUGAUUGAAAAUGGAGCUGUUUUAAAUUAAGUUUAUUAAAAAUGUGGCCACAGGGCCGGGGAUUUAGCUCAGUGGUUUCACCGCCUGCUGCACAAGCGCAAGGACCCGAGUUCCAUCCCUGGUACCAAAAAAAUAAAAUAAAACAUUUUUAAAAAUGUGGCCACAAGUGUUCAGGGCUGUAGGAGGGAAGAUGGUUAAAGGCGCUCGCAUUGCAAAUGCAGUUUUGGAACAGGAGUAUGGGAAAGGAAGGGAAGCCAAGAUUGCCAAACCUACAGACAUUUCCCUGCGGAUUUCAAGGAAAGCAACAACUCAGGAAAGUGUGGCGCUCCGCUAGAGGCAAGCUAGAAAUGCAGGCAUGCACAGCAAAGUGUUCUGCAUAGCACGGGAAGGGCCCGCUCACUCGGGCAGCUUGCGGCGUAAAAUAAACCAAGCUCAAAUUCCCUGGCAGACAUCUGAGCGAUCUUUGCCACGAGUUGUGGCGGUCGUGGCCUCCAGUCUUCAUGACACUCACCCGCACAGUCAUCUGGUCACCUUACCCAAGUACUCUCCUUAGCCACAGGAGUCUUCUUCAAGUUCGGAGGCUUUUGGUGCAAAGGCUUGUCCUCCCUUCAGGGCCCAGCCGCUGCAGGCUUACAGCAACUUCUGCCCACCUGUAGGACAGGUGGUUGUAGGACGACCAGCGUCCAGGGAUCACUUCUGAAAUCUGGAAGAAAAAAAUAC
rnacentral:lncRNA from 1 species